GCAGAGUAGGGUCACGCGCGUAUAGUGUCCUGGGAUGGGAUGUCGCCCAGGAACGAAAGGUCUUUUCCGGCCUGCGGUGCGGUCCCGCGUCCGCUGC
rnacentral:ncRNA from 1 species